AGUAGUUGGUCAGAACUCUCAUAUUCAAAGACAGAUCUUCCAUCUCCAGCAGCCGAAGACUUAAGCCAUGUUCUGGGUAAAGUAACAAGAGGAAGACAUUUUUCAGAACUCUCCUGAGGAAAUCAAAGGCUUUUGGGGGGCAAUUGGGUGGGUAAGGAUUCUGUAUUUAUAGGUACAAUGUGUCCAAGAUGGAUGGAAGAAGACCUCCUGAAUUGGGAGAUGCCUCUAUCCCCUCCCACCCUGCUCUGUGCCCUGGGAGGCUAAUCUGAAUAGAAGGCAUCAACAGACUCUGUGACCUUCCCCAGGUUUGCCCAAUGAGAGCUGUGGAUCAGUCACAUGACACACUUUGGCCAAUGGGAUGUUUGUAGACACCCUGAGCAGAGGACUGGAAUGGAGUUUCCUUGGGUUGGCCUCUUGGUCACUCUCUCCAAAACGACAGGCCCAUGAAGCAGACCUGUAUCUGACCCAAAGCCUGAAGCAGAGCAGGCCCAGUCAACUCAGAAGUAAGAAAAACAAAUGUUUGUAGUUUGUAGCCACUGAGGUUUGUGGGUUCUUUGCAUACACCAUUAUUGCAGUCAGGGAUUGUAAUUACAGGUAUCUCAGGAGACAGAAGACUGGACGGCAAGGUCAAGGUAUAUACAAAGGGUCACAGGGCUGCUGGGUCCUUUCUUCAAAGUCACAGCUUCUCCGCUCCACGUCUCUCCACGCCUCUCUCUCUCUGGGUUCCAAUAACUACUCAACUGCUCCCUAGCACACCCUGCUGUUGCCUCAAUAGAGUCUCUUUUUUAGAUUAUCUUUGAAUUACCCAGUUUGAGAGUGUCUUCUGUUUCCUGCCUAAACUCUGACUGACAAAAAAAAAAAAAAAAAUCCUCAUAAUCAUCUUAUUAUAUAGGUACUAGUAUCC